GACGAACUUUGGCGGCGUGCUUAACACAUGCAAGUCGAACGGAAAGGCCCUGCUUUUGUGGGGUGCUCGAGUGGCGAACGGGUGAGUAACACGUGAGUAACCUGCCCUUGACUUUGGGAUAACUUCAGGAAACUGGGGCUAAUACCGGAUAGGAGCUCCUGCUGCAUGGUGGGGGUUGGAAAGUUUCGGCGGUUGGGGAUGGACUCGCGGCUUAUCAGCUUGUUGGUGGGGUAGUGGCUUACCAAGGCUUUGACGGGUAGCCGGCCUGAGAGGGUGACCGGCCACAUUGGGACUGAGAUACGGCCCAGACUCCUACGGGAGGCAGCAGUGGGGAAUAUUGCACAAUGGGCGGAAGCCUGAUGCAGCAACGCCGCGUGCGGGAUGACGGCCUUCGGGUUGUAAACCGCUUUCGCCUGUGACGAAGCGUGAGUGACGGUAAUGGGUAAAGAAGCACCGGCUAACUACGUGCCAGCAGCCGCGGUGAUACGUAGGGUGCGAGCGUUGUCCGGAUUUACUGGGCGUAAAGGGCUCGUAGGUGGUUGAUCGCGUCGGAAGUGUAAUCUUGGGGCUUAACCCUGAGCGUGCUUUCGAUACGGGUUGACUUGAGGAAGGUAGGGGAGAAUGGAAUUCCUGGUGGAGCGGUGGAAUGCGCAGAUAUCAGGAGGAACACCAGUGGCGAAGGCGGUUCUCUGGGCCUUUCCUGACGCUGAGGAGCGAAAGCGUGGGGAGCGAACAGGCUUAGAUACCCUGGUAGUCCACGCUGUAAACGGUGGGUACUAGGUGUGGGGUCCAUUCCACGGGUUCCGUGCCGUAGCUAACGCUUUAAGUACCCCGCCUGGGGAGUACGACCGCAAGGCUAAAACUCAAAGGAAUUGACGGGGCCCCGCACAAGCGGCGGAGCAUGCGGAUUAAUUCGAUGCAACGCGUAGAACCUUACCUGGGUUUGACAUGGAUCGGGAGUGCUCAGAGAUGGGUGUGCCUCUUUUGGGGUCGGUUCACAGGUGGUGCAUGCCUGUCGUCAGAUCGUGUCGUGAGAUGUUGGGUUAAGUCCCGCAACGAGCGCAACCCUUGUUCACUGUUGCCAGCACGUUAUGGUGGGGACUCAGUGGAGACCGCCGGGGUCAACUCGGAGGAAGGUGGGGAUGACGUCAAGUCAUCAUGCCCCUUAUGUCCAGGGCUUCACGCAUGCUACAAUGGCUGGUACAGAGAGUGGCGAGCCUGUGAGGGUGAGCGAAUCUCGGAAAGCCGGUCUCAGUUCGGAUUGGGGUCUGCAACUCGACCUCAUGAAGUCGGAGUCGCUAGUAAUCGCAAAUCAGCAACGCUGCGGUGAAUACGUUCCCGGGGCC
rnacentral:rRNA from 1 species